rnacentral:rRNA from 1 species
GAUGAACGCUGGCGGCGUGCCUAAUACAUGCAAGUCGAACGGGUGUAGCAAUACGACUAGUGGCGAACGGGUGAGUAACACGUUGGUGACCUGCCCUAAAGAGGGGAAUACCACUUCGAAAGGAGUGACAAAACCGCAUAAGCUGAUGCUAGUUAGAGAGGCAUUAGUAAAGGAGCAAUCUACUUUAGGAGGGGCCUGCGGCCCAUCAGCUAGUUGGUGAGGUAAAAGCCCACCAAGGCGAAGACGGGUAGGGGACCUGAGAGGGUGAUCCCCCACAAUGGAACUGAAACACGGUCCAUACACCUGCGGGUGGCAGCAGUAGGGAAUAUUGCUUAAUGGGCGAAAGCCUGAAGCAGCAACGCCGCGUGAACGAAGAAGGCCUUCGGGUCGUAAAGUUCUUUUACGUGGGAUGAGGAAGGACAGUACCACGAGAAUAAGUCUCGGCUAACUACGUGCCAGCAGCCGCGGUGAACUGUAGUCGU